AAAUGCGAUAAGUAAUGUGAAUUGCAGAAUUCAGUGAAUCAUCGAAUCUUUGAACGCACAUUGCGCCCGCCAGUAUUCUGGCGGGCAUGCCUGUCCGAGCGUCAUUUCAACCAUCAAGCCCCCGGGCUUGUGUUGGGGACCUGCGGCUGCCCGCAGGCCCUGAAAACCAGUGGCGGGCUCGCUGUCACACCGAGCGUAGUAGCAAUCACCUCGCUCAGGGCGUGCUGCGGGUUCCGGCCGUUAAACAGCCUUACAAAACCCAAGGUUGACCUCGGAUCAGGUAGGAAAACCCGCUGAACUUAAGC
rnacentral:misc_RNA from 1 species